GGGGAAGAGUUUGAUCCUGGCUCAGAUUGAACGCUGGCGGCAUGCCUUACACAUGCAAGUCGAACGGUAACAGGGAGCUUGCUCCGCUGACGAGUGGCGAACGGGUGAGUAAUGUAUCGGAACGUACCAUUCAGUGGGGGAUAACGUAGCGAAAGUUACGCUAAUACCGCAUAUUCUGUGAGCAGGAAAGCAGGGGAUCGCAAGACCUUGCGCUGAUUGGGCGGCCGAUAUCAGAUUAGCUAGUUGGUGGGGUAAAGGCUCACCAAGGCGACGAUCUGUAGCGGGUCUGAGAGGAUGAUCCGCCACACUGGAACUGAGACACGGUCCAGACUCCUACGGGAGGCAGCAGUGGGGAAUUUUGGACAAUGGGGGCAACCCUGAUCCAGCCAUGCCGCGUGAGUGAAGAAGGCCUUCGGGUUGUAAAGCUCUUUCGGCCGGGAAGAAAUCGCACGGGUUAAUACCCUGUGUGGAUGACGGUACCGGCAUAAGAAGCACCGGCUAACUACGUGCCAGCAGCCGCGGUAA
rnacentral:rRNA from 1 species